GUGUCAUUGUAUUGAUGAUGAUGACGACGAUGAUGAUAGGAGCAUAUCAUCAUCGUCAGUCAUCAUCGUCAGUCAUC
rnacentral:miRNA from 1 species